GCCUUCGUGGUGUAGUGAUCAGCACGCUCCACGCGUAAUCGAGAGGCCCGUGGUUCGAUUCCCGGUGAAGGGG
rfam:Stegodyphus mimosarum contig56152, whole genome shotgun sequence.